AGGGUUUGAUUAUGGCUCAGGAUGAACGCUGGCGGCGUGCUUAACACAUGCAAGUCGAACGAAGCGCUUGAACAGAUUUCUUCGGAUUGAAGUUUUUGCGACUGAGUGGCGGACGGGUGAGUAACGCGUGGGUAACCUGCCUCAUACAGGGGGAUAACAGUUAGAAAUGACUGCUAAUACCGCAUAAGCGCACGGUGCUGCAUGGCACAGUGUGAAAAACUCCGGUGGUAUGAGAUGGACCCGCGUCUGAUUAGCUAGUUGGUGGGGUAACGGCCUACCAAGGCGACGAUCAGUAGCCGGCCUGAGAGGGUGAACGGCCACAUUGGGACUGAGACACGGCCCAA
rnacentral:rRNA from 1 species